CAGCGGUACACGGCACAAACAUUCAUUAUUAAAUCAACUUUGAAACAAAUCGGUUAUACUCUACAUAACUAGUAUGAAACUAACGCCAUGAACUCGGUACGAAAAAUUGCUCCUAGGUCUGCAAACGUCAGAUGGGUUGGUGAUUUCAGUAGCCAACAGCUAGGCACGGUCGGGAAACCAAACAAUGAAAACCCACUGCGAAUAUACGGUAAUAGGCCUAUCUAUGAUCACAAGACAAAGUUGGUUUAGGAUCACUACUUAAAUUCGGUGUCUGAAUGCUUAUUAUUUCUCUGCAUGUAUUUUUACGAAUUUUCUUAUUCUUUAGAUUAAUGACCAGCGAGUUUAUGUCAACCCUAAACAUGGAUGGGCAUGGUGAUAAAACAGAUAGGAAAGGUGCAUGGUGAAAAACAAGAGAAACACAAGGCAAGAACAGAUCGGUAGCAUUUAUAUGAACUAUAUUUAUGUUAAAUAUUUUUG